GACGUAGGGCGCGAGCGUUGUCCGGAUUUAUUGGGCGUAAAGAGCUCGUAGGCGGCCUUCUAAGUCAGACGUGAAAUCCCCCGGCUUAACCUGGGAACUGCGUCUGAUACUGGGAGGCUUGAGUAUGGGAGAGGGAUGUAGAAUUCCAGGUGAUAGCGGUGAAAUGCGUAGAUAUCUGGAGGAAUACCGGUGGCGAAGGCGGCAUCCUGGACCAUAACU
rnacentral:rRNA from 1 species